GGGAGCCUGAGCCUGUGGAUCUGGGAAGAUUCUAUGGACCAACAGUUUGUCUUCUGAGUGUAUCUGCUCCCCUUGAAUGAUCUAGUUUACUCUCCUAAAGACCUUAAGAGAAGUUUGCCUGUGAUCAAACUGAGGAAGGAGUUUUUCCUGUAUCUGGCUGCUGGUAGCAUCAGCCUUACUUGGACAUCUAACAACAAAAGAUCUUGGCUCUAUUGGAUUUUGGACUCCUGCUGUGAGAUUGGGGUAGGAGAACCAGGAGAAAGCAAUAUCAUGGAAAACCCAAGAAGGAAAAUGGUCAUCUGUGAUUAGAAGAUUCAGAAAUAGAAAGAUGUCAGCACCUCCAGAAGAAAUCCAGUUUCUCUUCGUAGUGUGAACAGCAGGAAACAGGCAGGCAACCGCUUUGCUACUGCAUUAUUUGAGACAACCGUACGCUUUGGAUGAUCCUCCAGAUCAGAGACAUCAGAAAUCAAAUCUUGAAAGGAUUAAAAGAUCUGACAAAUCGAUCCCUUCAGAAAUAAAUUCUGGCCAGGAAAUCAGCUAGAAAAUGUGAUCACUAGAAUCAUGCACCAACCAAUUUCUUUUUUUCUUUUAACAACUGCAUGAUUUUGCUUAAUGCUCAUUUGCCUCCUACUCUGAAUUUUCCAAUUACAAAGGAGAUGAUUUUUCUCUGCUUUGGGAGCCUGUAAUGUAAAGUACUAAUCUUCUCUGACAGGACAGUGAGCAGCCACAAUCUAAUAAUAAACAUUUAAAGAAAAGAAAGCUGAAUGAAGUCCAGAACCUGUCGAGAAAUAUUAGAAAGUAUUUUUGGUGAAUUCAAACUUUCUUUUAAAAAAUAUACCACAUAGGGCUUGGGGGAGGGGAAGGAUAGAUUUCUGGAUUCUCUGACCAGUUGGCAUAUGGGUCGAAGGCUCCACUCUGUCUUCGUUUUCUACAGAAGUGUGUCUUCUCACUUUUUUGCACAUCACAACUCAAAUCUAAAAUUAGGUUUCUUUUCACUGGAAUGUAAAUGCCUGUGUGUGUGUGUGUGUGUGUGUCUGUGUCUGUGUGCACAUGCGCACCCAUGCCCUGGCUUAUUAUUGUAGGGAUGAUUUUGUUUCUGUAGCCAGCAAAGAUGCCAGCUUGUAGCAGGAUCAGCGGCUACCUGAACCAGAUCUUUAUUGGGGGGGAGGGCAGGGAAAGGAGAAGAGGUGGAAGAAAGUGAAGCCCAGAAUCAGGUGCCUGCUUGGGCUCAGAGCUGAUGGAUGGCCCACACAGUGACUUCACUCCAAGCAAUGUGAAAGCUAAUUGAGAAAACAUGUUCCAGUGAUGUCUUCAUGGAAAAAUCCAGAUUGGGGCAUUUUUUUUUAUUCCUUUAGAAUUCCUUGAAUAUUUGUUGUGCAUGUCUUUACAGCCUCCUGGAUCAUUACCCCAUUCUGCCCCAGAAGGACUAAGAUUUCCUGCCUUAUCUGAAGUUAAGCCUGUGAGGGAUGGGACUCCCCCAGAGGGCUAAUAGACCAGUGGUAGGGUAUGAAGCAAGAGGAAAGAGAAUCUGCUCUUUUGGUGCCUUUCUGUGAAAAGAGGGAAGAUCACAGCUGAAGUUCUUGGAAACUCAUUUUCUCCUCCUACAGCCCUCUUAGUCACCUCCUACCCUUCCACACCAUGGCUGUCUCUUCAUGAUGACUCUCCUCCAUAGAAUGCCUACUUUUCCUUUUCGCCCUACUUCUAUCAAAGUCCUCUCAAUCAUUCGAAGACCAUCUCCUCCCUGAAACCCUCCCUCCAACAACUCCCAUCAACUGAGGAGAUACUUAUUGAGCUCCUGCAACUAGUCAGUAAACAAAGGGAACAGAGAAAGAGACCCUGCCUUCAAGGAGUUACAUUGUGGUGGGGACAUAUGCCAUGCACACAGAUAAAUGUAACCCAGGUAAUGGAAUAAAUCAAUCAAACAACACACAUUUAUUAAAU